rnacentral:snRNA from 1 species
GGAUGUGAGGGUGAUCUGGCUGCAAUAUCUGUCACCCUAUUGAUCGCCAAGGUUGAUUUGGCUGAUCUGGCUACGUGGUUGUCCCCUUCCUGCCUCACCUCUCCCUGUGUGUCCUUUCUGAAACUGUGGACCAUUCUUUACCUCCAAACAAGCUCUCAGGAUGCAUUUGUAGGAGAACAUAGGGUAGUCAAGAUCCUAAGACUCCAGACACAUCCAAAUGAGGUGCUGCUUGUGGCAGUGUGCCUUUCUUU